rnacentral:rRNA from 1 species
AAGGGUGACGCAGCAACGCCGCGUGUGGGAUGAAGCAUCUUGGUGUGUAAACCACUGUCAGUUGGGACGAACCGCUACAGCAAGCAACGGCUGUAGUCUGACGGUACCAGCAGAGGAAGCUCCGGCCAACUCCGUGCCAGCAGCCGCGGUAACACGGGGGGAGCAAGCGUUGUUCGGAAUCACUGGGCGUAAAGGGUACGCAGGCGGGAAGGCAGGUCAGAUGUGAAAACCCAAGGCUUAACCAUGGGCCUGCAUCUVAAACCACCUUUCUUGAGUAUCGGAGAGGAAAGCGGAACUCCAGGUGUAGCGGUGAAAUGCGUAGAUAUCUGGAGGAACACCGGUGGCGAAGGCGGCUUUCUGGCCGAAUACUGACGCUCAUGUACGAAGGCUGGGGGAGCAAACAGGAUUAGAUACCCUGGUAGUCCCAGCAGUAAACGAUGGGCACUAGGUGUUGGGGGAGUCGACCCC